AGCAGGCACUUAAGUGACACUCCAAACACUCCCAGGAAGGAUGGGGACUUGUGUCUGUCUCUUCCAAGGAUUCGGGGAGUUCGGGCCAAGGCCCACCUGAGGCCGCCCAGGUAGCCCCUGUGUCAACCUCUAUGACCAUAUGACGUUUAUGAACGUUACAUCAAGGGGAUCACACAGCAUGUCCUCAUAUGUCUACCUGCUUCACUCACUGUUGGAGAGAUCCACUCAUGGGAGGCAUGAGCAGUGAUGUCUUCAUUUUCCUUGCUGCGUAGUAUUCCACAAUGUGACUCUUACAUCACCUUUUGAUGGUCCUUUGGGCUGUUUCCAGUUUGGGGCAGUUAGUAUUUAUAUCUUCUGGUGAAAAUAUGUCAUCUUUUCUUUGAAUAAAUAUAUGUAAUGGGUUGA